ACCUACGGGGGGCAGCAGUAGGGAAUUUUCGUCAAUGGGCGCAAGCCUGAACGAGCAAUGCCGCGUGAACGAGGAAGGUCUUCGGAUCGUAAAGUUCUGUUGAAGGGGAAAAAGAGCGGAGAGAGGAAAUGGUCUCCGAUUGAUAUUACCCUUCGAGGAAGUCACGGCUAACUACGUGCCAGCAGCCGCGGUAAUACGUAGGUGGCGAGCGUUAUCCGGAAUGAUUGGGCGUAAAGGGUGUGUAGGCGGCCUGCUAAGUCUGGAGUGAAAGGUACCGGCUCAACCGGUACAGGCUCUGGAAACUG
rnacentral:rRNA from 1 species